UGAGAGCUGUCCUGGGCCGGAGGUGGCGCGAACCCUGUGCGGCCUAGAGUGGGCCUGGGAUGCCUCAGCACUAAUGAUCAUGAUCAGAGACCCCGAGUUCUCUCGUGCUGCUACGCUUCGCAACACAUCGCACAAAUGGAAUAUGUGUUGACACACCCCUCUAAAGUUAAGAUCUUUGAUAUUAAGACCCUGACUUUUUUCCCUUUCAUUCUUCCGAACCCUCUGUGUACUUUGAGCAGCACUGUGGUUGAUUAAUAAAUCAUCAAAUGUGAAAGGAAGAAAGCGACCUUCCUGUGUGGAAAAGCAGGAUAUCUUGCGAGGCUGUAUGAGAGAGUAUUCGGUAGAAUCAGGAGCUGUGGACGCAUUCCUGAUUUUGUUUUUCCUUAUUUUGCUCGGCUAUAUCUUGGCUCUGUCUUUUAUUUCUUCAAAGUUCUGUUCUAUUCAGAACAUUUGAAAGCACAGCCAUUCACUAGACCCUCUCUGGUGGAGGAAGAAAAACUAGAGAUGAAUACAGUAUUUGAAACCUUGCUUACAAUCUAGCAGGGGAAAUAAGACAGCAAUACAAAAUAAAUUGUUGGCUGAUACAAAUAAAAUGCUGCAAGGACCAAGUGGAGGGAAGAGAUGAUUGCAGCUAAGUGAGAGAAAGGCUGCUGGGGAAAGGUAAAGAGUGAUUUUGAGAAAAGCCUUUCUAGACAAAGGUGCUUCCUUUUUCACCAAACUCGCCUGUUUGGUGAUUUUGAGAGUAGAUGUUCCAGUGUUCCAGGCAAGGGAAACGGAUGAGAGAAGGCACAGAAGUGGGUGGGUUUAGAGAAUUGUGAAUAGCCUUUCUGGUUCCAGCAUAGGGGCAUGGUUGCAAAUGAGACUGAAAAGGUAGAUUAGGGUGACAUCAAGAAGACAUUGGAGGCUGGGCGCAGUGGCUUACACCUGUAUUCCCAGCACUUUGGGAGGCCGAGGAGGGCGGAUUACCUGAGGUCGGGAAUUCGAGACCAGCCUGACCAACAUGGAGAAAACCCGGCUCUACUAAAACUGCAAAAUUAGCUGGGCAUGGUGGCACAUGGCUGUAAUCCAGCUACUCAGGAAGCUGAGGCAGGAGAAUCUCUAGAACCUGGGAGGCGGAAGUUGCAGUGAGCCGAGAUCACACCAUUGCACUCUCCAGUCUGGGCAACAAGAGUGAAACUGCGUCUCACAAAAACAAAAACAAAAAAUUGGAACUUGGACUUUAUUCUGGAACCAUAUAAACAGGAACAUGAUAUGCUCAAAAAUAUGUUUUUU
rnacentral:lncRNA from 1 species